rnacentral:lncRNA from 1 species
UCCCCUUAUUGUCGAGCUCUUUCACUUUUUUGAUCUUUUUUUUUGUUCUAUCAUCCCUAACUCUUUUUGUUUUAUCAUCAGUUUUUUUGUUCUUUAUUCUAAAAUUGGGGUCCCUCCUUCUCUAUUUCUUUUUCGAUCCUUCUACACUAUAAAAAGAUAUACUGAUGAUUGAUAGUAUGUCUCUCCUCUGAAGGAGGUCUCUACUUUGAUAUGGGGG